rnacentral:rRNA from 1 species
UACGUAGGGGGCAAGCGUUGUCCGGAAUCAUUGGGCGUAAAGAGCGUGUAGGCGGCCUGGUAAGUCCGCUGUGAAAGUCCAGGGCUCAACCCUGGAAUGCCGGUGGAAACUGUCAGGCUCGAGUCCGGAAGAGGCGAGUGGAAUUCCUGGUGUAGCGGUGAAAUGCGCAGAUAUCAGGAGGAACACCUGUGGUGUAGACAGCUUACUGGACCAUAACUGACGCUGAGGCACGAAAGCGUGGGUAGCAAACAGG